GGCCAGACUCCUACGGGAGGCAGCAGUAGGGAAUAUUGCUCAAUGGGGGAAACCCUGAUGCAGCGACGCCGCGUGUGGGAAGACGGUCCUCUGGAUUGUAAACCACUGUCCCCAGGGACGAAAAUGACGGUACCUGGGGAGGAAGCUCCGGCUAACUACGUGCCAGCAGCCGCGGUAAUACGUAGGGAGCGAGCGUUGUCCGGAGUGACUGGGUGUAAAGAGUUGCGUAGGUGGCAUAGUAAGUAGCUAGUGAAAUCUGGGGGCUCAACCAUUCAGACUAUUAGCUAAACUGCUAAGCUCGAGACCGUUAGGGGUAACUGGAAUUUCUAGUGUAGGAGUGAAAUCCGUAGAUAUUAGAAGGAACACCGAUAGCGUAGGCAGGUUACUGGGACGGCUCUGACACUAAGGCACGAAAGCGUAGGGAGCAAACGGGAUUAGAUACCCCAGUA
rnacentral:rRNA from 1 species